rnacentral:rRNA from 1 species
AUGGCCGAGGCGGCGCAGGGCGGGGGGCUACGCGGCCGCGGCGUGCUGCUGGGCGGCGUCCAGGACGCGCCGGCGGGGCGGGAGAACGACCUCGCGACCAUCAAGCUCGCACGCUUCGCCGUCGCCGAGCACAACACCAAGGCCAACGCGCUGCUGGAGUUCGAGAGGCUGGUGAAGGUGAGGCAGCAGGUGGUGGCCGGGUGCAUGCACUACUUCACCAUCGAGGUCAAGGAAGGCGGCGCCAAGAAGCUCUACGAGGCCAAGGUGUGGGAGAAGGCCUGGGAGAACUUCAAGCAGCUCCAGGAGUUCAAGCCGGCCGCCUGA